rnacentral:lncRNA from 1 species
AUACUGAGCUAUUAUGUUGCCUCAUGCAACACACAGCUGGAUAAUCAGACUGUUUAUAAGGCAUGCAGUUUAAACAGCCAAAUUUUCCUCUCUGCUAUGGAUAGGAACCUAAUUCGACAGAAGUAACUUGGCUGCUCCAAGUGAACGAUGCAUUGAGUGACAUCGUACCCCAAAAGCAGCGGCAAGGAUCAAGCGAGAGGGGCACCGAAUGGGGCCAAGUAUGCCAAAAUCCUGCUGACUGCUGCCACUGCCAUUCUUGAAGGGUAGUUUGGGGUCUGUGAUGGUAGCCCGGAAGAGAAUGGGGCUGGGCUGGGAUGUUCUGUG